GUUUGAUUCUGACUCAGAACGAACGCUGGCGGCGUGGAUAAGACAUGCAAGUCGAACGCUCAUUGCCGGGUAGCAAUGUUCGGUAGUGGGAGUGGCGCAAGGGUGCGUAACACGUGGGUAAUUUGCCAUAAAGUUGGGGAUAACUCGCUGAAAGGUGAGCUAAUACCGGAUGUGGCUGUUGAAAGGCGACUUUCGAUAGCCAAAGUUGGGGACCGCAAGGCCUAACGCUUUAUGAUAAGCCCGCGACCUAUCAGCUAGUUGGUGAGGUAACGGCUCACCAAGGCUAAGACGGGUAGCUGGUCUGAGAGGACGACCAGCCACACUGGAACUGAGACACGGUCCAGACACCUACGGGUGGCAGCAGUCGAGAAUUUUUCUCAAUGGGCGAUAGCCUGAAGGAGCGACGCCGCGUGGGGGAUGAAUGGCUUCGGCCCGUAAACCCCUGUCAUUUGCGAGCAGACCCUCUUACCUAAUACGUAAGAGGCUGAUAGUAGCGAAAGAGGAAGGGACGGCUAACUCUGUGCCAGCAGCCGCGGUAAUACAGAGGUCCCAAGCGUUGUUCGGAUUCACUGGGCGUAAAGGGUGCGUAGGUGGUGGUGGAAGUUUGAUGUGAAAGCUCCGAGCUUAACUCGGAAAAUGCAUUAAAUACUCUACCGCUUGAGGAUUGGAGGGGAGACUGGAAUUCUCGGUGUAGCGGUGAAAUGCGUAGAUAUCGAGAGGAACACCAGUGGCGAAAGCGAGUCUCUGGACAACUCCUGACACUGAGGCACGAAAGCUAGGGGAGCAAACAGGAUUAGAUACCCUGGUAGUCCUAGCUGUAAACGGUGCACAUUUGCUGUGAGCGGAAUCGACCCUGCUCGUGGCGUAGCUAACGCGUUAAAUGUGCCGCCUGGGAAGUACGGCCGCAAGGUUAAAACUCAAAGAAAUUGACGGGGGCCUGCACAAGCGGUGGAGUAUGUGGCUUAAUUCGAUUCAACGCGAAGAACCUUACCUGGCCUUGACAUGUAGGUAGUAGAAACCCGAAAGGGUGACGAUUCCGCAAGGAAAGCUUACACAGGUGCUGCAUGGCUGUCGUCAGCUCGUGUCGUGAGAUGUUGGGUUAAGUCCCGCAACGAGCGCAACCCUCAUGUCCUGUUGCAACCCGAACGAGAGUUUGGGGCACUCUGGACAGACUGCCUCGCUAUAACGGGGAGGAAGGUGGGGAUGACGUCAAGUCAGGAUGGCCCUUACGGCCAGGGCUGCACACGUACUACAAUGCCCGGCACAAAGGGACGCGAAACCGUAAGGUGAAGCAAAUCCCAGAAAACCGGGCCCAGUUCAGAUUGUCGUCUGCAAUUCGACGGCAUGAAGCUGGAAUCGCUAGUAAUGGCGCAUCAGCUACGGCGCCGUGAAUACGUUCCCAGGCCUUGUACACACCGCCCGUCACAUCAUGAAAGCCAUUUGUACCCGAAGUCGCCCCUUAAAAGGUGCCGAAGGUAUGGACGGUGAUUGGGAUGAAGUCGUAACAAGGUA
rnacentral:rRNA from 1 species